GCCACUCCUCCACCAAUCGAGGAGUCUGUCUACAAAUACUCAAAUUUCGAGGAGCUGAGGCGUUCCCCGGCGUUCGUCGACAAAACUCUCCUCAUAAAGCAUCUGCUGGACCAAAAACUGAAUCUCUCUACGCGGCUGUAUAUAACAGCGCCUGGCCUCUUCGGCAAGACGCUAAACCUCGACAUGCUUGAUCGCUUCCUAAGAUUACAAAGGCAAGACACAGGAGAGCUGAUGGAACACCCCGCGUCCAACCAGACUAAAUUAUUCUCAGGCACAAAGAUUUCAACCCAAGAGAAUGAUUUUAUCCACGCCCAUCAUGGACAAUACAUCGUACUGCGCUUAUCACUAGGACCGUUUAUAAUAUAACGACCUACAAUAUGUUCAAAGACACCCUGUGCAGCAUUAUCAGCGACGCGGAAUGGCAGAUAGACUCGAUGUCAGGCAAGUCGAGUGACGAAAAAAUGACGUCGCUUGCGUAUUAUCGCGAGCACUGCAGAUUGAACUUCCUGUCUGCGGCGGAUAUACUACCAUCUCGGCUAAAGCGCCUGUCGGAGACCCUCGAGAAAAGGGCCGUCUUGCUUUGGGACGACUUGGACAUACUGUUGCGUGCAUCGAUCAGGAGAACGCUUCCGGAUACGAAAUCUAUCUAUAAACUAUGAGCCGCGUCAUAGUUCGACUUACGCACUCCGACGUCGUUAGACUGUCUGUGGCUGUCGGGAGGUUGAAUUUUGGAGGUGUGAUGUCCAGUAUUGCCAACUGUACUCACGUUGCCUUCAACGGAAAUGCAGGUUUGGCUCCGUUUUUGGUCUGACCAAAAGUGAGGUCCACGAUCUUGUGGAGGCUUACCGUUUGCCUUUGCCGCAGCAAAUUGAGCUUUACUACAACGGUUACGAGGUUAUGGGCUCAGAUUUGCGCAUCUACAACUCGUUUUCGAUUGCGUCACUCGUCGGGUCGAAGAGGUUCGACUUCUACUGGCAGAAUCAGGUCGCGCCUUUAUUCCCGUUCACGCAGCUUUUUGCCACGCCAUUGAUCGGUACACAGGUGGCAUUCAGCGUCUUCGCGAAGUGGAUCUCCGCCCCGAAAGACAUCCCUCCAUCCAUCGGAUCAGUCACAAACCUACAGGCGCAGCUCGAGAGGAUGACCCCGAAGAUCAACGAGACCCACUCCGCCGUUUUCAUGUCGUACCUCCUGGAAACGGGUUACUACACCAUCGGCGCCCACAAUCAAGGCUCGCAAAUGCGUCUGGCCGACUUGGAGACGGUGGUCCCUGUGAUGGCUCAGCUCUUCUUGAGCGGCUACUACGAGCGCUACUACGAGUACACGAGCAACGCCAAAGUGAUAUUCCUGGCCGCCGUCGCCACACUGUCCCCUAACCAAAGUUCCUAUGACCGACUUGCCAUGGCCAUACACAACCUGUAUCACUAUACUUGCUCCAAGCUAGUCGACCAGCGACCGGGGUUGCUGGGCAAUUUAGUUGCCAUCUUCUCCUCGACGCAGGCGGUGCAUGCUGGUGUCACGGAUGUCGUGUACGGGAAGCGGGUGCCGCUCGACAAACGGAAGAGUGAAGGACACGCUUUUGGGAGUUUGGACCUGAUGGUAACGUUUGGAAACCAGACGUCGCAACAUCUGGGCGUCCUGAUGGAGCUGGUCCUUUGGAAAUCAGCCGAGCUGGCGAUGACUCAGCUAGAGACCUUCAAGUAUAUGGAGGCUUUCAAUGAUUUGCCGGAGGAAAUGCGCCCGAAAGAUGUUGUUUUGUUGGGCGUGAAUUUGGACAAAACGUGCAAGUGCACGGUGAGGUACAAGUUCGGCAAGGAGAGUACCGGUCAAACAUCUUUCCCAAAACCACGAAACCCUGAAAAGUAAAAGAAAACUUGGAUGUGUUUCUGCCAAAAGGAACUAUGUGCAUUAUGACGAGAGCUCUGUUAUGCAUAUAUCUGCCGUGAUAGCGAAGAGAACCGUAAGAGCAAAAUUUUCGAAAUCGAGUUUCCUUCAAAAUUCGUCUAAACUCUUUUAGAUGAAAUUACUGAGACAGCUAAAGCAGCAAAAUUCAUCCUAAUUUAAUGAAAACGAGACGUAUGAGAAAGCCGUAAGUGCACAAAAAAUGACAUAGUUUCUUUCAAGACAGCCGUAGGUGCAUGAUAGCCAAUGAAAACAGUGCUUUCCAGUAAAGUGCCGCCCUCUUCUGCCAAUUUCUAACCUGAAAAUGUGUUUGUUGUGCGUCCAAAACGCAACUACGAAAGCAUGCAGAAUAUAGCACUUACGGCUGACUUGCCUAACAAUAACCUAGCAUAAAAUUAAAAAUACCCUUUUAAUGUAAUGGAAAUAAAAUCAGUCGAUUUUUAAUCAUCCAUAAGAUUUCUAGGAGUCUUCUGCACGAUUAGUGGCAAUUUGACAAAGAACGGAGGCUUCUUUCAAUAAAAUGUUCUUGUCAGAAGCUUCUGAGCCCGUUUUCUCAAAACUUCAUUUUUGCACUUACGGCUCUCUUCGCUAUCACGGCAGAUAUUCUUAUGGGUCUCAAGGCUCAUGUCUGAAUGCACACUGUUCUAUUUGAAUGAAAUACGUCCACUAGAGCGAAAUAUUGAGAUGAAUCUUCCUUAUCAGAUGUACAAGGAGGUUAAUUUUUGUCGAGAAGCUCAAUUUUAAUGUUCAUGGGUGGUUUCACGAUAACUGGAAUAGUUUUGUCGCCGUAACAGACGACACAUUUUUUGGUCAUAUUUUUAGUAGAAAUGAUAAUCACUCGAAUUUCUUCGCAUUAAGCUUCAAAGGGUUGCGCAUUAUAACGCUUUCUAAUGAUUUAUUGCUCUCGAUUAAUAUUAUGUAAAUUCCGAAAAUGUGCUGUCUGUUACGCGGUAGAAAGUCAGCGUACCAGACAGCACAUUUUCGGCCAUUUAUAUAUAAAAAUUGAAAAGCAGAGCGAUAAAUCUUUGAAAAGCGUUAUAACACGUAACCCUAUGUGUAGAUUAAUGCACAGAAAUUCGAGUGAUCAUUAUUACUGCUAAAAUAUGACCGAAAAAUGUGUUAUCGUGAAACCGCCCUCAUGCAUUGUUUCAAGUUGGCAUGAAACUAAACAUUGGAAUGAACCACAAGACAAAGUACGACUUUAAGCAUUUUGAUAUGUGUAUCGUAAGCAAAAUUUUACGUAUAACACGAUUCGCGCAAAAUGAAUGACGUUUUAGGAGAAAAUUUUCCAGCCUUAAGAGGGUGGGGUCUAGACUUCGAGAUACCUUUCCUCGUGGCUGUACGCCACUGAUGAGUAUGAAGUGGAGAGUUUUGGUCAAACAGUUAUCCCGAAAACUGCAUCCUCAUAGAUUCAAGAAAUUUAUCAAGUGAAAAAGGUGCGAUGGGUGGUUUUUUAUUGGAAAAACAGGAAAUAUAAUAUUUUUAAUGAAACUGAUUCGAAUAAAUGAGUUAAGAAUGAGAAAGUGCAGUAGCUGAAGUUCUGGCCGACCAUCUUUCCAAAACCAACAUACUGAAGCUUAAAUGGUUUACCUGACGAAGAGUUGUGGUGGAUGGUUUUUUUAUUCAUAUUUUCUCUGUUGAGGGUGUUGAACUGGACCAUGAUUUUGAUGAUUUCCUACAGUUUUUAUCCAUUGCAAUUUUGUUUGUCAUAUACUUUAUGGUGAUAUCUCGAAUGUAGGUGAUGAAGGGUCUUGGAUAACGACAAUAGUACUUUUGAUGAGGAACCG
rnacentral:lncRNA from 1 species